rnacentral:lncRNA from 1 species
CUCCCUGCCGGCCGAGCGGCGCGGGGGAGGAGGCCGGCGGGCGGGUGCAGGGAAGGGGCCUCAGCCCCGGCGCCCGGCGUGGGGAGGAGGGGACCGAGUCGGAGCCGGGGCUUGGCCGCGUACACGACCCCCCCCAUCUCGACCCCCACCCCCGCCCCCGUCCGGUUCCGCGGGCAGGGGGCCCUGGCGGCGAGGCAGCGAUUGUUGGGACCUGGCAUUCACUCAUGCGGGUGAGUGCCCAUAUCGCUGUGCGAAGUUGGACGUACAAAAAGUGAGCCCCCCGGUGAUCUUGAACGAUUGGAGGAAACUAAAGCCCUCCACCGAGGUUGUCACUGGUGCAUCAUCUUCAGCUGGGAAUCCGGCCUCCCACACGCACUGCUAAGAGAAUGUGGCAAAUACAAACUUUAGAAAAACGUUGAGCCCUGAUAACCUAAGAGCUUACCAUCUUGUGUAAAUUUCGUGUACCUUAUAAAUAGGUCGGUGAAGAGAUGAAGAGCAAAACAAGCAAGGGCAAACAUCUUUAAAAUGUUCAUAUGCCUGGGGCACCUGGGUGGCUCAGUCAGUUGAGAGACCAACUUCAGCUUGGGUCAUGAUCUCAAGGUUCAUGAGUUCAAGCCCCACACGGGCUUGCUGUCAGCCUGUCUGCCCAGAGCCCCUCUUCGGAUCCUCUGUCUCCCUCUCGCUGCUCUUCCCCUGCAUGUGCUCCCCAAAAUAAAUAAAUAUUAAAAUGUUCAUAUUCCCCAACCCAGAAAAGUUACUUGAAGUCACACAUCUAUGGAUACAAAAAGAUGCAUGUAGGGAAAGCCAUCAUUGUGGGAAAACUAGGAACAGAUUAAAGUUUUAACAGAUUUUUAAGUAAAUGAUAGUAUUUUUAUACAGUGAGUACUACAUAGUCAUUAAAAAUGAUGUGUUACAAUAUUUAGUAGCAUAGAAAAGUAAUUUCACUAUACCUUGUUAAGAAAGAAAAACAC